UACGUAGGGUGCAAGCGUUAAUCGGAAUUACUGGGCGUAAAGCGUGCGCAGGCGGUUGUGCAAGACAGAUGUGAAAUCCCCGGGCUCAACCUGGGAAUUGCAUUUGUGACUGCACGGCUAGAGUGUGUCAGAGGGGGGUAGAAUUCCACGUGUGAGCAGUGAAAUGCGUAGAGAUGUGGAGGAACACCGAUGGCGAAGGCAGCCCCCUGGGUCAAGAUUGACGCUCAUGCACGAAAGCGUGGGAGCAAACAGG
rnacentral:rRNA from 1 species